CGAAUCAAAAUGAAAUAUGGACAUUGCAUAUGAAGUUUGACAGAAACCUCAUUCAACAAAAUACUAUCCAGCUGAAAACAUCACAUUUGAAAAAUUACUAGAAUGGAAUCCAAUACCCUAAGGGAUAAAGUUCGCAAGACGGUUGCGAUUAAUCGGGCGAAUAAUCGCUCAAAAAUUUUCAACCAGAACCGCACCAUUGACGAGGAGCUGCCUGAACUGAAGAUGGAGGAGGACGCUCACCAGAAGCAUCACGAUCAGCGACUCCUCGAUUUGAAGGAACAGCGGGCAAAGGUUAAUCUUCGAGCCAAGCUAAUCCAAGCAAUACCGGUGAGCGAACAAACCGUGGCGUUUGGAUUUAGAAGCGAGACAUUCAAGGCGCCCAGUGAUCUAGAAAUGCAUGAUUCACCUUCUCUAUAGAAAUAUAUUUUUUGCCAAAGAGAACAUAACUUAAAAUAAGUGUAUUUAAUAGAGAAUACCUUCCUCCCAAGUUGAAGUUGUCGCGAGGAAUUCAAAAUUGUGCGCUUCUGAUGUUAUGUUUAUGUGAUGGAUUUAAAUCGCACUUUUCUGAGACGGACCCCGGUCUGGACAACCUUGGAUCGAUUUGCGCCUUUAAUUACAGCUGUCUUACAUAUGAGAGUUAUUGGACUGUGACUGCUACUCUCAAUGACGGUUUUGAUUCUAUUUUUUCAUCAAAGUCCAUACUUUUGGUCACAACCGGGUUUGCAAUGAACUUCAGACUCGAGUUGAACUAGAAAUCUCAAGACUUGCUUAAUUUUUCAAGACUUUGUUCAAGACUUAGCACAAGACUCUACAUACUCGAAUGUCGGAUUUCGAUGUUCAGUUUUAUUCAACUAAAUUCUUAAUUUGCAAGGCGCUGCCAAAUCUGGAUUACUUUUAUCGGAAAAGUUGGCGACAUACGUCUUAUUUGGUUAUAAAAUUAUUUUAUGAAA